AGAUUGAACGCUGGCGGCAUGCCUAACACAUGCAAGUCGAACGGGAGUAGCAAUACUCUAGUGGCGGACGGGUGAGGACUACGUAGGAAUUUGCCCUUAAGUGGGGGAUAACCCGGGGAAACCCGGAUUAAUACCGCAUGACCUCGAAAGAGCAAAGUGGGGGAUCGCAAGACCUCACGCUUUUGGAGAAGCCUACGUCGGAUUAGCUAGUUGGUGAGGUAAUGGCUCACCAAGGCGACGAUCCGUAACUGGUCUGAGAGGAUGAUCAGUCACACCGG
rnacentral:rRNA from 1 species